UCGAGAAUCUUCGGCAAUGGGCGCAAGCCUGACCGAGCGACGCCGCGUGCGGGAUGAAGGCCUUCGGGUUGUAAACCGCUGUCAGUAGGGAGCAAAUGCAUAGGGGUUCUCUCCUAUGUUUGAGCAAUCUGCAGAGGAAGUACGGGCUAAGUUCGUGCCAGCAGCCGCGGUAACACGAACCGUACGAACGUUAUUCGGAAUCACUGGGCUUAAAGAGUUCGUAGGCGGCUCGGAAGGUUGGGUGUGAAAUCCCACAGCUCAACUGUGGAACUGCGCCCAAAACCGUCGGGCUUGAGGGAGACAGGGGUGAGCGGAACAGAUGGUGGAGCGGUGAAAUGCGUUGAUAUCAUCUGGAACACCGGUGGCGAAGGCGGCUCACUGGGUCUCUUCUGACGCUGAGGAACGAAAGCUAGGGUAGCGAACGGGAUUAGAUACCCCUGUAGUCC
rnacentral:rRNA from 1 species